rnacentral:tRNA from 1 species
CUUUAAUAGUUUAUUUAUAAAACAAUGGUCUUGUAAACCAUAAAAGAAAUUAUUUCUUAAAGCUC